GAUGAACGCUGGCGGCGUGCCUAAUACAUGAAAGUCGAGCGAACAGACGAGGAGCUUGCUCCUCUGACGUUAGCGGCGGACGGGUGAGUAACACGUGGAUAACCUACCUAUAAGACUGGGAUAACUUCGGGAAACCGGAGCUAAUACCGGAUAAUAUAUUAAACCGCAUGGUUCAAUAGUGAAAGACGGUUUUGCUGUCACUUAUAGAUGGAUCCGCGCCGCAUUAGCUAGUUGGUAAGGUAACGGCUUACCAAGGCAACGAUGCGUAGCCGACCUGAGAGGGUGAUCGGCCACACUGGAACUGAGACACGGUCCAGACUCCUACGGGAGGCAGCAGUAGGGAAUCUUCCGCAAUGGGCGAAAGCCUGACGGAGCAACGCCGCGUGAGUGAUGAAGGUCUUCGGAUCGUAAAACUCUGUUAUUAGGGAAGAACAAAUGUGUAAGUAACUAUGCACGUCUUGACGGUACCUAAUCAGAAAGCCACGGCUAACUACGUG
rnacentral:rRNA from 1 species